CCUACGGGAGGCAGCAGUGGGGGAUAUUGGACAAUGGGGGAAACCCUGAUCCAGCGACGCCGCGUGAGUGAAGAAGUAUUUCGGUAUGUAAAGCUCUAUCAGCAGGGAAGUAAGAAAUGACGGUACCUGAGUAAGAAGCCUCGGCUAACUACGUGCCAGCAGUCGCGGUAAUACGUAGGGGGCAAGCGUUAUCCGGAAUUACUGGGUGUAAAGGGAGCGUAGACGGGAAUGCAAGUCUGGAGUGAAAGGCGGGGGCCCAACCCCCGGACUGCUCUGGAAACUGUGUAACUGGAGUGCAGGUGAGGCAGGCGGAAUUCCUGGUGUAGCGGUGAAAUGCGUAGAUAUUAGGAAGAACACCAGUGGCGAAGGCAGCCUGCUAAACUGUAACUGACGUUGAGGCUCGAAAGCGUGGGGAGCAAACAGGAUUAGAUACCCCAGUAGUC
rnacentral:rRNA from 1 species